rnacentral:rRNA from 1 species
UGCAUCGAUGAAGAACGCAGCGAAAUGCGAUACGUAGUGUGAAUUGCAGAAUUCAGUGAAUCAUCGAAUCUUUGAACGCACAUUGCGCCCUUUGGUAUUCCAAAGGGCAUGCCUGUUCGAGCGUCAUUUGUACCCUCAAGCUUUGCUUGGUGUUGGGCGUUGUUUGUCUUUGGCCUUGCCCAAAGACUCGCCUUAAAACAAUUGGCAGCCGGCCUACUGGUUUCGCAGCGCAGCACAUUUUUGCGCUUGCAAUCAGCAAAAGAGGUUGGCCAUCCAUCAAGACUACAUUUAUACGUUUGACCUCGGAUCAGGUAGGGAUACCCGCUGAACUUAAGCAUAUCAAUAAGCGGAGGA